GCAGCUGACGGUCUCAUCGGCAACUCAGCCGACCCUAAUAAACGUCGCCGUGACUUGCCUUCGCAGUUUGCAUUCACACGCCGCUCCCCAAUUUUUCGCUUCGCUUCGCUUCCGUUCGUCGAUCAAAUCUCCCCCGCUUCGACGCGCUCGUCUCCGUCGAAAUAGGCAUGGAUCUCCGCAAGAUCAAAGUCGCCAACCCCAUCGUAGAGAUGGAUGGAGAUGAGAUGACGCGUGUAAUUUGGAGACUAAUCAAAGAAAAGCUUGUUUUCCCAUUUCUCGAGUUGGAUAUAAAGUACUUUGACUUAGGCCUUCCAAAUCGUGAUGCUACAAAUGAUAGAGUUACAAUAGAAAGUGCAGAAGCUACUCUAAAAUAUAAUGUGGCAAUAAAAUGUGCAACUAUUACUCCAGAUGAAACUCGUGUUAAGGAGUUCAACUUGAAAGCAAUGUGGAAAAGUCCAAAUGGAACCAUUAGAAACAUUUUGAAUGGGACUGUAUUUAGAGAGCCGAUUAUAUGCAGAAAUAUACCAAGGCUUGUGUCAGGGUGGUCAAAGCCCAUAUGCAUUGGAAGGCAUGCUUUUGGUGAUCAAUACCGAGCCACAGACACAGUUAUUAAAGGACCUGGCAAACUGAAAUUGAUAUUUGAGGGAAAAGAGGAGCAAAUUGAGCUAGAAGUGUUUAAGUUCACAGGUGCUGGUGGGGUGGCACUGUCUAUGUAUAAUACUGAUGAGUCAAUUCGUGCUUUCGCUGAGGCUUCAAUGAACACAGCUUACCAGAAAAGGUGGCCACUUUACCUUAGCACUAAGAACACAAUUCUCAAAAAGUAUGAUGGAAGGUUUAAGGACAUAUUUCAAGAGGUGUAUGAGGCUCAAUGGAAAUCUAAGUUUGAGGCUGCUGAAAUAUGGUUAGUUAUAGACAUGGCCUUGGUAACUCAUCUUUAUAAAGAGUUCAUUCAGAUAAUCUUUUGCAGGUAUGAACAUCGCUUGAUAGAUGAUAUGGUUGCUUAUGCUCUUAAGAGUGAUGGGGGUUAUGUAUGGGCUUGUAAGAACUAUGAUGGAGAUGUGCAAAGUGAUUUCUUGGCUCAAGGUUUCGGGUCCCUGGGAUUGAUGACGUCAGUGCUGAUGUGCCCAGAUGGCAAAACUAUUGAGGCUGAAGCUGCACAUGGCACUGUUACUCGUCACUAUCGGGUACACCAGAAAGGGGGAGAAACCAGCACAAACAGCAUUGCUUCAAUUUAUGCAUGGACACGAGGGCUUGCUCACAGGGCAAAGCUAGAUAAUAAUGCUGCAUUGCUCGAUUUCACACAAAAACUUGAGACCUCUUGCAUUGGAGUUGUUGAAUCUGGGAAAAUGACUAAAGAUCUUGCUCUUCUUGUUCAUGGACCCAAGGUUACUCGAGAUAUGUAUUUGAACACGCAAGAGUUUAUUGAUGCAGUUGCAACAGAGCUCAGAGGAAGACUUUGUAGCAAAUCAAAGUUGUAAACCCAUUCUUUGCCAUCUGAGAUUAGACAAAAAUAACUUAGUUGCACUUUCCAUUGAUUCAGGAAAAAUUUAUGUUGCAGUUGCAGGCCCGAAUAAAUUGAUACCGGAUGUACCUCACUAUCACGCUAAAGCAAUAACGUGCAGUUUAAUAUGCAAGUGAACAAAAUGAAUAUUCGCUAUUUCCCUGGUUCAAGGACGUCUGAUGGUAAUCUUUAUGUUGUAUAAACUUGAGUGUUGCACUCACGUGGCUGCGGUUCGAAGUUUGUUCUUGGUCAUGCCACUCUGGAAAAAGAACUUUAAUGGUGAUCUUUAUGUUAUAUAAUUAGAGUGUUGGACUCA